GACGAACGCUGGCGGCGUGCUUAACACAUGCAAGUCGAACGGAAAGGCCGUGCUUUUGUGGGGUGCUCGAGUGGAGAACGGGUGAGUAACACGUGAGUAACUUGUCCUUGUCUUUGGGUUAACUUCAUGACACUGGGGCUAUUACCGGGUAGGAGCUCCUGCCGCAUGGUGGGGGCGGGUAAGAUUCGGCGGUUGGGGAUGGACUCGCGGAUUAUCAGGUUGUUGGUGGGGUGGUGUCUUACCAAGACUAGGAAGGGUAGCCUAGCUGCGCGGGGCACCGGCCACAUUGGGACUGAGAUACGGCCCAGACUCCUACGGGAGGCAGCGGUGGAGAAUAGUGCACUAUGGGCGGAAGGCUGAUGCAGCAACGCCGCGUGCGGGAAGACGGCCAUCGGGUUGUGAACCGCAUUCGCCUGUGAUGAGGAGUGAGUGACGGUAAUGGGUAAAGAAGCACCGGCUAACUACGUG
rnacentral:rRNA from 1 species